AUAGGUACGAGCGCUUUCUCGUGUUGGUGGAAGUAGUGUAAAUGAAAAUGGCAGGAAAAUCAUGAUGAAACUGAUGUCAUACGAGGCCAUGGCUGGAUAUAGUAUUAAGGGGAGAAAGGGAAAAAAGGCCCUUGGAGAACUUCAGAUUUUUCAAGUCAUUCGAGAAAAGAGAGUGAUGACAAUUGUACUGAUGAGCUGAGCAGUGGUGAUCUCUAAUUCCAUUGGAUUAUCUCACCCAACAGUCGGAGGACCUUGUUUCCUUUUGAGGACUUACACUGUUCGACAUACACAUGUAAACUUGCAGCUAGUAAUUUCUUAUCCAUGUGGAAAAGUGGUGAAAUAGGGAUGGCUUCUAAAGCAUUCACUGCUCAUUUCUGUUUGUUAAUUUGGUUUAUUUGGAUCAUCUACAUAAAAACAAUAUGUAUACAAAUUCUUUAAAAAAGGUUGAAGAUGAGCCUCAAAAGUUGAACUCAAUGAUAUUCUAAAUUCUAAAAAGAUACGUGUCUCUGAUUUCAGAAUUGCUGUUUGAUUCCGACAAAGAUGAGAUAGUUAUGAAUGGUGGUGAGAUAGAUGAGCUAGUCAUGAAUAAUGGGAAGUCAUUUGUUAAAUUAUCUCAUUCCAAGAUGCUGUUGUCUACAGUUGAUGCAAUUUGCUGAGACUUAUCCAGCAGUUUUUAAAGUGUCUAAUUUGUGGUUAAUAAUGAAACUCGCAGUAUGCCUAAGAUUUUAUUUAAGAUAAUAUUAACAGUAGUCUUAUGCUAGAGUCAUAAAGGUGUAACAUCAUUUUAUAAUUAAAUUACAUUUACAACAUGACAUACAGUGUGUAUACAAUAUGUCAUGGCUUGCGUAAAAAAGUGUGUAACGUUGUCAUUAAUUAUGAUUCUUUCCUGAAAUUCUUUCAAAUAUGCGUACAGAUUUUCACAUGUUCAAAAUAAUGUCAUUUUUACCGGUUAGGUCCACUCGCUUCUAAUGCCAUGGCCCUCUCAUUGGCGUUGGUUUAAGUUUUAGGUUAUGGUCACUGGCGCCAAUCAGAAAGAAAAUGUCUCUGUACAUGUUAUACCAUACC